AUUGAACGCUGGCGGCAGGCCUAACACAUGCAAGUCGAACGAGUGGCGGACGGGUGAGUAAUGUCUGGGAAAAUGCCCGAUGGAGGGGGGUAACUAACGGAAACGGUAGCUAAUAACGCAUAUGAUCGGAUGUGCACAGAUGGGAUUAGCUAGUAGGUGGGGUAACGGCUCACCACGGCGACGAUCCCUUGCUGGUCUGAGAGGAUGACCAGCAACACUGGAACUGAGACACGGUCCAGACUCCUACGGUAGGCAGCAGUGGUGAAUAUUGCACAAUGGGCGCAAGCCUGAUGCAGCCAUGCCGCGUGUAUGAAGAAGGCCUUCGGGUUGUAAAGUACUUUAAGCGAGGAGGCGUUACUCGCAGAAGAAGCACCGGCUAACUCCGUGCCAGCCGCCGCGGUAAUAC
rnacentral:rRNA from 1 species